CAAUGGAACAUGAGGAUGGUUAAUGAAGUCAGCAUGACAACGAGAAAAAAUAAAUGAAUAAAUCAAUUGAUUAAAUUUCUCUCCCUUCUCCCCAUUUUUAGAGUUUUUGAAUUUUCUUUUUUUUUUGCUGUGAUGGAUAGCGAAAUGUGAUAAGAGAUACGCACAAUAGAAAUGAUGUAGCUGUCAUUAACUUGGUGAGUGAUGAUGAUGAUGAACAUUUAACCAGGGAUACACGUGAGCAAGAAUAUGAUGGUAGUGACGAUGACGACGAUGAUGAUGAUACUGAUACAGUGAUUUUGGAAGAGGAGGAGCUGAUUGGGACGUCAGGG